rnacentral:misc_RNA from 1 species
CUUGGUCCUCUUUUUAUUUUUAUAUUGGGUUCUUUUGGUUUGGAUCUCAUUGAUUCACCUAUAUAGCCACAUUGUGCUUUUUAGUACACCAGCCACAAUUAUUUCUUCAACUUAAUUUAGUGAAUAUUGCAUGCUAUCCACCAAAGGCGAUUGGCUAAUCGCCCUUUACACCUAGGAGAAAGAUGAUGGUUUUGAUUCAUAAAUUACUUGGUUCACCGGGG